GACGAACGCUGGCGGCGUGCUUAACACAUGCAAGUCGUACGGUAAGGCCCUUUCGGGGGUACACGAGUGGCGGACGGGGGAGUAACACGUGAGUAACCUGCCCACAACUUUGGGAUAACGCUAGGAAACUGGUGCUAAUACUGGAUAUGUUCUCCUGCUGCAUGGUGGGGGUUGGAAAGCUCCGGCGGUUGUGGAUGGACUCGCUGCCUAUCGGCUUGUUGGUGGGGUAGUGGCCUACCAAGGCGGCGACGGGUAGCCGGCCUGAGAGGGUGACCGGCCACAUUGGGACUGAGGUACGGCCCCGGCUCCUACGGGAGGGAGCAGUGGGGAAGCUUGCACGAUGGGCGCAAGCCUGAUGCAGCAACGCCGCGUGCGGGAUGACGGCCUUCGGGUUGUAAACCGCUUUCAGCAGGGACGAAGCUUUUUGUGACGGUACCUGCAGAAGAAGCACCGGCUAACUACGUG
rnacentral:rRNA from 1 species